rnacentral:rRNA from 1 species
UACACGACCGUACCGCAAACCGACACUGGUGCGCGAGAUGAGUAUUCUAAGGCGCUUGAGAGAACUCAAGAGAAGGAACUCGGCAAAUUGACACCGUAACUUCGGAAGAAGGUGUGCCUUUAGUAGGUGAAGUCCCUCGCGGAUGGAGCCCAAUGAGGUUGCAAAGAAUCGGUGGCUGCGACUGUUUAUUAAAAACACAGCACUCUGCAAACACGAAAGUGGACGUAUAGGGUGUGACGCCUGCCCGGUGCUGGAAGAUUAAAUGAUGGGGUGCAAGCUCUUGAUUGAAGUCCCAGUAAACGGCGGCCGUAACAAUAACGGUCCUAAGGUAGCGAAAUUCCUUGUCGGGUAAGUUCCGACCUGCACGAAUGGCGUAACGAUGGCCACACUGUCUCCUCCUGAGACUCAGCGAAGUUGAAAUGUUUGUGAUGAUGCAAUCUCCCCGCGGAAAGACGGAAAGACCCCAUGAACCUUUACUGUAGCUUUGUAUUGGACUUUGAACAGAUCUGUGUAGGAUAGGUGGGAGGCUUUGAAGCAGGGUCGCUAGAUCUUGUGGAGCCAACGUUGAAAUACCACCCUGGUGUGUUUGAGGUUCUAACCUAGGCCCGUAAUCCGGGUUGGGGACAGUGCAUGGUAGGCAGUUUGACUGGGGCGGUCUCCUCCCAAAGUGUAACGGAGGAGUUCGAAGGUACGCUAGUUACGGUCGGACAUCGUGACGAUAGUGCAAUGGCAUAAGCGUGCUUAACUGCGAGACUGACAAGUCGAGCAGAUGCGAAAGCAGGACAUAGUGAUCCGGUGGUUCCGUAUGGAAGGGCCAUCGCUCAACGGAUAAAAGGUACUCUGGGGAUAACAGGCUGAUACCGCCCAAGAGUUCAUAUCGACGGCGGUGUUUGGCACCUCGAUGUCGGCUCAUCUCAUCCUGGGGCUGUAGCCGGUCCCAAGGGUAUGGCUGUUCGCCAUUUAAAGAGGUACGUGAGCUGGGUUUAAAACGUCGUGAGACAGUUUGGUCCCUAUCUUCCGUGGGCGCUGCAGAUUUGAGGAAGCCUGCUCCUAGUACGAGAGGACCGGAGUGGACGCACCUCUGGUGUAUCGGUUGUCACGCCAGUGGCAUUGCCGAGUAGCUAUGUGCGGAAGAGAUAACCGCUGAAAGCAUCUAAGCGGGAAACUCGUUUCAAGAUGAGAUCUGCCGGGGCCUUGAGCCCCCUGAAGAGUCGUUCAAGACCAGGACGUUGAUAGGUCGGGUGUGGAAGCGCAGUAAUGCGUUAAGCUAACCGAUACUAAUUGCUCGUGCGGCUUGACCC